UACGUAGGGUGCAAGCGUUGUCCGGAAUUAUUGGGCGUAAAGAGCUCGUAGGCGGUCUGUCGCGUCUGCUGUGAAAACUCAGGGCUUAACCCUGAGCUUGCAGUGGGUACGGGCAGACUAGAGUGCGGUAGGGGAGACUGGAAUUCCGUGGUGUAGCGGUGAAAUGCGCAGAUAUCAGGAGGAACACCGGUGGCGAAGGCGGGUCUCUGGGCCGGUACUGACGCUGGAGGAGCGAAAGCCGUGGGGAGCAAACAGG
rnacentral:rRNA from 1 species